AAUCUGGGGUCCCCGACCCCCGAGUUGUAAUUUGGAGAGGCACCUUCGGGAGGAGCGCUGGCCCAUGUUCCUUGGAACAGGACGUCGCAGAGGGUGAGAAUCCCGUGCCAGGCCAGCCGCGCCCUUCCUUGUGAAGCGCCUUCGACGAGUCGAGUUGUUUGGGAAUGCAGCUCCAAGUGGGUGGUAAAUUUCAUCUAAAGCUAAAUACCGGCGAGAGACCGAUAGCGCACAAGUAGAGUGAUCGAAAGAUGAAAAGCACUUUGAAAAUAGAGUCAAAAAGUACGUGAAAUUGUUGAAAGGGAAGCGCUUGAGACCAGACUCGGAGCGAGGCAAACAUCUGGCCCCGCGGGGCCGUGCACUUGCCUCGAUCCGGGCCAGCAUCAGUUGGCGUGGCGGGAGAAAGGCGCGGGGAAUGUGGCUCCCCCCGGGGAGUGUUAUUAGCCCCGCGCUCAAUGCCGCCCUCGCCGACUGAGGACCGCGCUUCGGCUAGGAUGCUGGCUUAAUGGCCUUCAGCGACCCGUCUUGAAACACGGA
rnacentral:rRNA from 1 species